rnacentral:tRNA from 1 species
AUUUUUCUAGUAUCAUAACAGUAUAGGUGACUUCCAAUCACCCGGUCUUGGCUUAAAUCCAAGGAAAAAUA